GAGAAUAAUGUACCACACUAUAGUAAGUUAACACUGUUCAGCUCUGAGUAACAGCAAUAUGGGGACAUUCGAACACAGGCUCUCCAGAGUUAGGUUAAGACAAAAGUCAUGACACCUGAAACACACUCAGGUUUUUCAGGUCUAAAGAAAUAUGAGGACAUGACGACUGAAAUAAUGGAGAGUCCAUGUUUCUGAUUUAUAACUUCUCCUGUGUUUGUCAAAGAAAGCUGAAAACUCAAACCUAGUAUAUCAUGAUAAGAAGUAGUAACCUGUUGUAAGGAUGAAGUGGAUCUCUCACUCCAUUCUUGGUUUCCAGAGGGUUCAGUCAGGUACCUGUCACUUGAUGUCUGCAACAUAACAACAUUACGGUGUCAAAAGUUUCAGCAUUCAUCAUUCUGACCAGUUAAGAAAUGAAUAAACAUUAUUUCUCAUUGAACAUUGCUCACAGGAGAGUUUGGGAAUAAUGUACAACACUAUAGUAAGUUAACACUGUUCAGUUCUGUGGAACAGCAAUAUGGGGACAUUCGAACACAGGCUCUCCAGAGUUAGGUUAAGACAAAAGUCAUGUCACCUGAAACACACUCAGGUUUUUCAGGUCUAAAGAAAUAUGAGGACAUGACGACUGAAAUCAUGGAGAGUCCAUGUUUCUGAUUUAUAACUUCUCCUGUGUUUGUCAAAGAAAGCUGAAAACUCAAACCUAGUAUAUCAUGAUAAGAAGUAGUAACCUGUUGUAAGGAUGAAGUGGAUCUCUCACUCCAUUCUUGGUUUCCAGAGGGUUCAGUCAGGUACCUGUCACUUGAUGUCUGCAACAUAACAACAUUACGGUGUCAAAAGUUUCAGCAUUCAUCAUUCUGACCAGUUAAGAAAUGAAUAAACAUUAUUUCUCAUUGAACAUUGCUCACAGGAGAGUUUGGGAAUAAUGUACAACACUAUAGUAAGUUAACACUGUUCAGUUCUGUGGAACAGCAAUAUGGGGACAUUCGAACACAGGCUCUCCAGAGUUAGGUUAAGACAAAAGUCAUGUCACCUGAAACACACUCAGGUUUUUCAGGUCUAAAGAAAUAUGAGGACAUGACGACUGAAAUCAUGGAGAGUCCAUGUUUCUGAUUUAUAACUUCUCCUGUGUUUGUCAAAGAAAGCUGAAAACUCAAACCUAGUAUAUCA